GAUUUAGUAAUGGAGUUUCUGGCACUUUUGCUCUCUGUUCACUACCAAAGAAGAACUUUAAACACUGCUAAAAAUUUCUUUCUUAUGUCGCCCUCUUCAAUCUUUGUGGGACAGGAUGAGGUCAAAAUUCGGGAUUUUAGCUAAUAUUAAAUCCGUUUAAACUAGCUAUCAUACUGCUGUUCAUGAACUCAGGUAGUUGCUGUGAAACGACCUGCUACAAAAUCUCGGCAUCAAGCAAACAUAGAUUAUGUUAAGGAACUUCAGAGGUUUAGCCUCAUAAAUCAUGCUGACUUGGAUUGGAUUGGUUACUGCACUAAAGGGAACAACAAAUUUCUUGUUUACGAGAGUCGACGAUGUUGGAUCAGUCCGAAAUGCAUCAUUUCAAUGGAAACCUCAAAGUCCCACUAUCGUACGUGUAUGAAAUGUUUAAUUCAUAAAAUCUAAGUUAUGUUGUUUCUCUUAUGUUGUCUAAGGUUGAGCAAUACCAAAGAAGUGGGAAACAAAUCCAGAGUAAGUUUCACCAUGAGACUGUCAGUUCUAUGUUCACAGGCAGUUCUGAACUCAUUGUCAGACAACAAAAACAGACAAGUGCUUUCUAUUUCACUAUCUUUGGUGUUGCUUUUCAGCAGAGCUAAUAAUUCGUCGCCAUAAUAUGCUUGGACUUCUUGGAAUGCAAUCACAUUAUGUUCUGUAAGCUCGCCUCCACGCAAGUGAGUAUCCUUGUACGCUGGUGUAGUGUUGGCAACUUGUGAACCACUCCAUGCUUGAGGUACUCCAAAUCCAGAAGCAACACUCAAAAUGUCCAGUACGUAGAUGAUCCACGCACAGAUGCAACAUUCUCAGAAUGUACAUUAGAAACUCCAUAUUCCUUGAUUGAUUAGAAACUUAUAAGUUUUGGUUGUUCUAAAUUUCAAAAAUAAAUUGUAAAUCAGGCCUUCUGUUUUUUUAAUCAGACUGUAAAAGUUUGGUAUAAGAUUAAUAAACCCUAAUUAAAUGUUAUAAAG